GUGUUAAUGCAGAAUCUCAAUCUUAGCUUCAAAAUGGAAUCACUUGGGGAGCUUUAAAAAAAAUUCCAAGACUCAGGCACAUACCCCAAACCAAUUAAAUAAGGAUAUCUGGAGCUGGGACCCAAGCAACAGUGCUUUUUCCAGGCUUCUUAGGUGAUACAAUAUGAGGCUAUCUUUUUGGUUCCUCUACUUUCUACUUGCAGCUCCUUCUCCCAUGGGGCUGGCUACAGGAACCAAUCUCCAGUACUUAUACUACUUUCCCCCAGUUCCUUUUUCUCCCUGGGUCUGUCCCCAAACUUCAUGCAGAACAAUGCCUGUGAACAAGUCACAAGCCCUUUAGAUUCUUCCAGACCUAUUUGAAAUUCAAUGGUAGCCACAUCUUGACUUCCAAGUUUGGGGCCCUACACAGUCAUUGACUGGUAGAUAUGAACAGUAUCUCAUAGGUUGUCUAGUAUGGUGACUCCCAAAUACCAGUCCUGAGCUGAAUUCUCAUCCUGAAUAAGAAUAAUCCAGGGAGCUUGUUUAAAAAAUUGUGUGUGUGUGUGUGUGUGUGUGUGUACACACAUAUAUAAUAGAAAUCCAUCUAUCUCUCUAUAUAUACGUAUAAUUUCGUUACCAGAAAGUCUCAUUCAGUAGGUCUACAGAAAGACCUGAAAGCUGUGUUUUAACAAGCUAAGCUUAAAGGAAACUCAUCUAGUCCAACACUGCCGACACAUAGCAGUAGCAAAAUCUCAAUGGGAUAUGCCUUGUUCAAGGAAACUUGUCUAGUCAGGAGAAGCAAUAGGAUUAGAAUCAGGUGUCCUGACUCCUGUGAAAAGAAGUCAUGCUAUGGACAAAUACAGUUUUUGCAUUUCAAAACUAAACACACACACAAACACACACACACACACACACACACAGCCUUGCCAGUCUUACCAGUUAGACAUUAGAGAAAGAGCAAAGCAUCCUGGGAAAUCAGAUCUGGGUCCUAGCUCCUGCUUGGUCACAUAAGCUGUGUGGUUUGGGGCAAAUAUUUUCAUCUGUUUGAACCCCAGUUUCUUCAUCUUUCGAAUGGGGGUAAUAGUUGCCUCAUAGAGUUUUAUGAGGAUUAAAUGAUACAACAUAUCUAAAAGAUGGAUAGUGGAGCCUGGUACUGAGUAAACAAAACUGGUUGCUACCACCUCUACUGUUAUGCUACUAUUAUGAUCAUUAUUAUGAACGUUAAUCAGCUUUUGUCUGGCCUUGUGAUAUGGUAGAAGGAGUCAGAUUUUGGCCCAAAGGGAUCCUCCAUGUUCUUUUAGUUCAGUGAUGCUUGAGGCCCUUGUCCAACUCAGCAUGUCAGAAAAAAUGACCGGGUGGCUUUGGCCCUGUGGAGCAACUUUAAUGCUAGUUACAGUAGCACCAGGGGCUUAGUGGAUAGAUACCUUAGCCAUAGAGAUCUCUGAAAGUAUUCAGAGCUAAAGAAGAGGAAACCCAUAUAUCCCAUGUGGCCAUGGAGAGGACUGAUUUUGAAUCCACAUGAGAUGCUUUUUGGAAGGCAGGUGGAUCACGAGGUCAGGAGAUCAAGACCAUCCUGGCUAACACGGUGAAACCUCGUCUCCACUAAAAACACAAAAAAUUAGCCAGGUAUAGUGGCGGGCGC
rnacentral:lncRNA from 1 species